GCGGGAGUAGUUCAGUUGGUAGAACACCUCCUUGCCAAGGAGAAGGUCGCCGGUUCGAGCCCGGUCUCCCGCU
rnacentral:tRNA from 3 species